ensembl:lncRNA
GUAACUCUGUUGUUUUCUAUUGGUCGUCAUGAAAAAAAACACAAGGGGUAACACUGUUGUUUUUUAUUGGUCGUCAUGAAAAAAAACAUAAAGGGUAACACUGUUGUCUUUGUCAAAUAAAAUAUAAGGGGUAACACUCGUUUUUUUAUUGGUCGUCAUGAAAAAAAACAAAGUAAAUAAUAGAAAUACACAAAUACAUUUUAAUGUCAUGUAUAUCCUCUUUAUUGAUGAUUGAUUUAUGUGUUUUGUCAUCGCCUCAGUGGUGCAGUGGAGUGCACUCUGCCUAGCCCCCUGGAGACAGGGGUUCAAGUCCGGUUGAGCCUGUCAUGAAAAAAAACACAAGAGUGUAACCGUCAUUUUUCUUUGGUCAUCAUGAAAAAAACCAUAAGGGGUAACUCUGUCGUUUUUUAUUGGUCGUCAUGAAAAAAAACAUAAGGGGGGUAACUGUCGUUUUUUAUCGGCCGUCAUGAAAAAAAACAUAAGGGGUAACACUGUCGUUUUUUAUUGGUCAUCAUGAAAAAAACCAUAAGGGGUAACCCUGUUGUUUUUUAUUGGUCGUCAUGAAAAAAAACAUAAGGGGUAACACUGUCGUUUUUUAUUGGUCGUCAUGAAAAAAAACAAUAAGGGGUAACACUGUUGUUUUUUAUUGGUCGUCAUGAAAAAAAACAAAGGGUAACACUGUUGUCUUUGUCAAAUAAAAUAUAAGGGGUAACACUCGUUUUUUUAUUGGUCGUCAUGAAAAAAAACAAAGGAAAUAAUAGAAAUACACAAAUACAUUUUAAUGUCAUGUAUAUCCUCUUUAUUGAUGAUUGAUUAAUGUGUAUUGUCUUCGCCUCAGUGGUGCAGUGGAGUGCACUCUACCUAGCUCCCUGGAGACCGGGGUUCAAGUCCGGUAGAGCCCGUCAUGAAUAAAAACACAAUGGUGUGCACGUUAUUUUUCUUUGGUCAUCAUGAAAAAAACCAUAAGGGGUAACCCUGUUGUUUUUUGUUGGUCGUCACUCGUCAUGAAAAAAAACAUAAGGGGUAACUCUGUCGUUUUUUAUCGGCCGUCAUGAAAUAAACAUAAGGGGUAACACUUUCGAUAUUUAUCAAAUAAAACAUAGGGGGUAACACCAUUGUUUUUCUUUGGUUGUCAUGAAAAAAAAACAUAAGGGGUAACACUGUUGUUUUUUAUUGGUUGUCAUGAAAAAAACAUAAGGGGUAACUGUUGUUUUUUAUUGGUCGUCAUGAAAAAAAACAUAAGGGGUAACACUGUCGUUUUUAUCAAAUGAAACAUGAGGGGUGACACUGUCGUUUUUCUUUGGUCAUCAUGAAAAAAACCAUAAGGGGUAACACUGUCGUUUUUUAUUGGUCGUCAUGAAAAAAAACAAGGGGUAACACUGUCGUUUUUUAGUGGUCGUCAUGAAAGAAAACACAAGGGGUAACACUGUUGUUUUGUAUUGGUCGUCAUGAAAAAAAACAUAAAGGGUAAC